CCAGACUCCUACGGGAGGCAGCAGUGGGGAAUAUUGCACAAUGGGGGAAACCCUGAUGCAGCGACGCCGCGUGAAGGAAGAAGUAUCUCGGUAUGUAAACUUCUAUCAGCAGGGAAGAAAACAGACGGUACCUGACUAAGAAGCCCCGGCUAACUACGUGCCAGCAGCCGCGGUAGUACGUAGGGGGCAAGCGUUAUCCGGAUUUACUGGGUGUAAAGGGAGCGUAGACGGUGCGCCAAGUCUGGAGUGAAAUGCCGCAGCUUAACUGCGGAACUGCUUUGGAAACUGGCGAACCAGAGUGCGGGAGGGGUAAGCGGAAUUCCUAGUGUAGCGGUGAAAUGCGUAGAUAUUAGGAGGAACACCGGUGGCGAAGGCGGCUUACUGGACCGUAACUGACGUUGAGGCUCGAAAGCGUGGGGAGCAAACAGGAUUAGAUACCCUCGUA
rnacentral:rRNA from 1 species